CAGUCGCCGCGGGAAUACGUAGGGUGCAAGCGUUAAUCGGAAUUACUGGGCGUAAAGCGUGCGCAGGCGGUUAUAUAAGUCAGAUGUGAAAUCCCCGGGCUCAACCUGGGAACUGCAUUCGAGACUGUAUGGCUAGAGUGUGUCAGAGGGGGGUAGAAUUCCACGUGUAGCAGUGAAAUGCGUAGAUAUGUGGAGGAAUACCGAUGGCGAAGGCAGCCCCCUGGGAUAACACUGACGCUCAUGCACGAAAGCGUGGGGAGCAAACAGGAUUAGAUACCCGAGUAGUCCCUGUCUCUUAUAC
rnacentral:rRNA from 1 species